rnacentral:rRNA from 1 species
AGAGUUUGAUCAUGGCUCAGAUUGAACGCUGGCGGCGUGCCUAACACAUGCAAGUCGAGCGGUAACAGGUGUAGCAAUACAUGCUGACGAGCGGCGAACGGGUGAGUAAUGCUUUGGAAUCUUCCCAGUAGUGGGGAAUAACCAGUCGAAAGAUUGGCUAAUACCGCAUACGUCCGAAAGGGGAAAGCGGGGGCUCGUAAGACCUCGCGCUAUUGGAUGAGCCAAAGUCGGAUUAGCUAGUUGGUGGGGUAAUGGCCUACCAAGGCGACAAUCCGUAGCUGGUCUGAGAGGACGACCAGCCACACCGGAACUGAGACACGGUCCGGACUCCUACGGGAGGCAGCAGUGGGGAAUAUUGGACAAUGGGGGAAACCCUGAUCCAGCGACGCCGCGUGUGUGAAGAAGGCCUGCGGGUUGUAAAGCACUUUUAGUGGGGACAAAAAGCUACGGACUAAUACUCUGUGGUCUUGAUUUAACCCAAAGAAAAAGCACCGGCUAACUCUGUGCCAGCAGCCGCGGUAAUACAGAGGGUGCGAGCGUUAAUCGGAAUUACUGGGCGUAAAGCGCGCGUAGACGGUUUUGUAAGUCAGAUGUGAAAUCCCUGGGCUCAACCUGGGAACUGCAUUUGAAACUGCAUGGCUAGAGUAUGGAAGAGGGAAGUGGAAUUUCCGGUGUAGCGGUGAAAUGCGUAGAUAUCGGAAGGAACACCAGUGGCGAAAGCGACUUCCUGGUCCAAUACUGACGUUCAUGUGCGAAAGCGUGGGGAGCAAACAGGAUUAGAUACCCUAGUAGUCC